GGGCGCUUAGCUCAGGGGGAGAGCACUUCCUUGACGCGGAAGGGGUCGUAGGUUCAAAUCCUACAGCGCCCA
rnacentral:tRNA from 1 species